rnacentral:pre_miRNA from 1 species
UAUAUAUAGAUUUAAGGUCGUGCCUGGCUCCCUGUAUGCCACAAGAAAACAUCGAUUUAGUUACAAAAUCGAUCACUAGUGGCGUACAGAGUAGUCAAGCAUGACCAAAGCUUUCUUGAUAUAUA